rnacentral:rRNA from 1 species
GACGAACGCUGGCGGCGUGCUUAACACAUGCAAGUCGAACGGAAAGGCCCUGCUUUUGUGGGGUGCUCGAGUGGCGAACGGGUGAGUAACACGUGAGUAACCUGCCCUUGACUUUGGGAUAACUUAAGGAAACUGGGGUUAAUACCGGAUAGGAGCUCCUGCUGCAGGGUGGGGGGUGGAAAGUUUGGGCGGUUGGGGUUGGAUUGCCGGCUUAUCAGCUUGUUGGUGGGGUGGUGGCUUACCAAGGCUUUGACGGGUAGCCGGCCUGAGAGGGUGACCGGCCACAUUGGGACUGAGAUACGGCCCAGACUCCUACGGGAGGCAGCAGUGGGGAAUAUUGCACAAUGGGCGGAAGCCUGAUGCAGCAACGCCGCGUGCGGGAUGACGGCCUUCGGGUUGUAAACCGCUUUCGCCUGUGACGAAGCGUGAGUGACGGUAAUGGGUAAAGAAGCACCGGCUAACUACGUG